GUGAGGAAUUUUCCGCAAUGGACGAAAGCCUGACGGAGCAAUGCCGCGUGAAGGAUGAAGGCCUAUGGGUUGUAAACUUCUUUUCUCAGAAAAGAAUUAUGACGGUAUCUGAGGAAUAAGCAUCGGCUAACUCUGUGCCAGCAGCCGCGGUAAGACAGAGGAUGCAAGCGUUAUCCGGAAUGAUUGGGCGUAAAGCGUCUGUAGGUUGUUUAAAAAGUAUUCUGUCAAAGAUUAGGGCUUAACCCUAGAUAGGCAGAAUAAACUUUUAAGCUAGAGUUUGGUAGAGGCAGAGGGAAUUCCCGGUGGAGCGGUGAAAUGCGUAGAUAUCGGGAGGAACACCAAAGGCGAAGGCACUCUGCUGGGCCAAUACUAACACUGAGAGACGAAAGCGAGGGGAGCAAAUGGGAUUAGAUACCCUGGUAGUCC
rnacentral:rRNA from 1 species